rnacentral:rRNA from 1 species
UGGGGAAUAUUGCACAAUGGGCGCAAGCCUGAUGCAGCAACGCCGCGUGAGGGACGACGGCCUUCGGGUUGUAAACCUCUUUUGGCAGGGAAGAAGCGAAAGUGACGGUACCUGCAGAAAAAGCACCGGCUAACUACGUGCCAGCAGCCGCGGUGAUACGUAGGGUGCAAGCGUUAUCCGGAAUUAUUGGGUUUAAAGGGUGCGUAGGCGGACUAAUAAGUCAGUGGUGAAAGCCUGCAGCUUAACUGCAGAAUUGCCAUUGAUACUGUUAGUCUUGAGUACAGUUGAGGUAGGCGGAAUGUGUCAUGUAGCGGUGAAAUGCUUAGAUAUGACACAGAACACCGAUUGCGAAGGCAGCUUGCUAAGCUGUAACUGACGCUGAGGCACGAAAGCGUGGGGAGCAAACA